AGAUUAAGUUAUUAAGGGCGCACGGUGGAUGCCUUGGCACUAGAAGCCGAUGAAGGACGUUACUAACGACGAUAUGCUUUGGGGAGCUGUAAGUAAGCUUUGAUCCAGAGAUUUCCGAAUGGGGAAACCCAGCAUGAGUUAUGUCAUGUUAUCGAUAUGUGAAUACAUAGCAUAUCAGAAGGCACACCCGGAGAACUGAAACAUCUUAGUACCCGGAGGAAGAGAAAGAAAAUUCGAUUCCCUUAGUAGCGGCGAGCGAAACGGGAAGAGCCCAAACCAACAAGCUUGCUUGUUGGGGUUGUAGGACACUCUAUACGGAGUUACAAAGGACGACAUUAGACGAAUCAUCUGGAAAGAUGAAUCAAAGAAGGUAAUAAUCCUGUAGUCGAAAAUGUUGUCUCUCUUGAGUGGAUCCUGAGUACGACGGAGCACGUGAAAUUCCGUCGGAAUCUGGGAGGACCAUCUCCUAAGGCUAAAUACUCUCUAGUGACCGAUAGUGAACCAGUACCGUGAGGGAAAGGUGAAAAGCACCCCGGAAGGGGAGUGAAAUAGAACCUGAAACCGUGUGCUUACAAGUAGUCAGAGCCCGUUAAUGGGUGAUGGCGUGCCUUUUGUAGAAUGAACCGGCGAGUUACGAUUUGAUGCAAGGUUAAGCAGUAAAUGUGGAGCCGUAGCGAAAGCGAGUCUGAAUAGGGCGUUUAGUAUUUGGUCGUAGACCCGAAACCAGGUGAUCUACCCUUGGUCAGGUUGAAGUUCAGGUAACACUGAAUGGAGGACCGAACCGACUUACGUUGAAAAGUGAGCGGAUGAACUGAGGGUAGCGGAGAAAUUCCAAUCGAACCUGGAGAUAGCUGGUUCUCUCCGAAAUAGCUUUAGGGCUAGCCUCAAGUGAUGAUUAUUGGAGGUAGAGCACUGUUUGGACGAGGGGCCCCUCUCGGGUUACCGAAUUCAGACAAACUCCGAAUGCCAAUUAAUUUAACUUGGGAGUCAGAACAUGGGUGAUAAGGUCCGUGUUCGAAAGGGAAACAGCCCAGACCACCAGCUAAGGUCCCAAAAUAUAUGUUAAGUGGAAAAGGAUGUGGCGUUGCCCAGACAACUAGGAUGUUGGCUUAGAAGCAGCCAUCAUUUAAAGAGUGCGUAAUAGCUCACUAGUCGAGUGACACUGCGCCGAAAAUGUACCGGGGCUAAACAUAUUACCGAAGCUGUGGAUUGUCCUUUGGACAAUGGUAGGAGAGCGUUCUAAGGGCGUUGAAGCAUGAUCGUAAGGACAUGUGGAGCGCUUAGAAGUGAGAAUGCCGGUGUGAGUAGCGAAAGACGGGUGAGAAUCCCGUCCACCGAUUGACUAAGGUUUCCAGAGGAAGGCUCGUCCGCUCUGGGUUAGUCGGGUCCUAAGCUGAGGCCGACAGGCGUAGGCGAUGGAUAACAGGUUGAUAUUCCUGUACCACCUAUAAUCGUUUUAAUCGAUGGGGGGACGCAGUAGGAUAGGCGAAGCGUGCGAUUGGAUUGCACGUCUAAGCAGUAAGGCUGAGUAUUAGGCAAAUCCGGUACUCGUUAAGGCUGAGCUGUGAUGGGGAGAAGACAUUGUGUCUUCGAGUCGUUGAUUUCACACUGCCGAGAAAAGCCUCUAGAUAGAAAAUAGGUGCCCGUACCGCAAACCGACACAGGUAGUCAAGAUGAGAAUUCUAAGGUGAGCGAGCGAACUCUCGUUAAGGAACUCGGCAAAAUGACCCCGUAACUUCGGGAGAAGGGGUGCUCUUUAGGGUUAACGCCCAG
rnacentral:rRNA from 1 species